CCUACGGGAGGCAGCAGUGAGGAAUAUUGGUCAAUGGACGAGAGUCUGAACCAGCCAAGUAGCGUGAAGGAUGACUGCCCUAUGGGUUGUAAACUUCUUUUAUAUAGGAAUAAAAUGAAGCACGUGUGCCUUUUUGUAUGUACUUUAUGAAUAAGGAUCGGCUAACUCCGUGCCAGCAGCCGCGGUAAUACGGAGGAUCCGAGCGUUAUCCGGAUUUAUUGGGUUUAAAGGGAGCGUAGGUGGGUUGUUAAGUCAGUUGUGAAAGUUUGCGGCUCAACCGUAAAAUUGCAAUUGAUACUGGCAGUCUUGAGUACAGUAGAGGUAGGCGGAAUUCGUGGUGUAGCGGUGAAAUGCUUAGAUAUCACGAAGAACCCCGAUUGCGAAGGCAGCUUACUGAACUGUAACUGACGUUGAUGCUCGAAAGUGUGGGUAUCAAACAGGAUUAGAUACCCCUGUAGUC
rnacentral:rRNA from 1 species